GGAGCGGUAGUUCAGUUGGUUAGAAUACCUGCCUGUCAUGCAGGGGGUCGCGGGUUCGAGUCCCGUCCGUUCCGCCA
rnacentral:tRNA from 2 species